AGCAACCAUGGCACAUAUGCUAUACUUGCUAAGGCUGCUUCUAAUGUUCCUGCUAUCCCUCUGCUGGAUUUUUUUUUCUUGCAGCCUGUGACUGAUCCUCCGGUCACCUUAGCUGGAUCCAUGUAUCCCCGACCCUCCACCUUCUCCAAAGAAACUAUAUUCACAAUGGACUAGCCCUCCAACCCAUGUCUCCCGCCCGGUGCCCCUUCCUGGACUAUUUCUAUAUUUGUCAUUCUGUGUCCAUUGUGGGUGCAAGGUAUAAUGUGGUUUGUUG